rnacentral:rRNA from 1 species
UACGAAGGGGGCUAGCGUUGCUCGGAAUCACUGGGCGUAAAGCGCACGUAGGCGGAUUUUUAAGUCAGGGGUGAAAUCCCGAGGCUCAACCUCGGAACUGCCUUUGAUACUGGAGAUCUUGAGUCCGGAAGAGGUGAGUGGAACUGCGAGUGUAGAGGUGAAAUGCGUAGAGAUCGGAAAGAACACCAACGGCGAAAGCACUCUGCUGGGCCGACACUGACACUGAGAGACGAAAGCUAGGGGAGCGAAUGGG